AUGCGGGGCAGCACGCCCACCUGGCUGAGCGCUCACUUUGGACCGGGCGUUGCACUGGGCACUAGCGGAAACGGCCCUGACCCCCAGCGAGCGGUUGCCGGUGAAGACAGACACUGGUCAGGCGUGAAAGGAGCGAAGCGCUGCCUGGGAUGCGGUGGGGGAUUCCGUGGUCUGGAUGAUGGUUUUUCUUUGCUGCGGACGCUGCUUCGAGAUUUGGGGGCCGAUGCCAAGGGGGGUGCCCUUUCUGGAAAGCCGUGUGGCUCUUCAAGUGGAGGCUCUUUAAGCACCCACACACAGUAUCUUGUACAAGUCGUUCCCGAGGAAACGGAAACACAGGCCCACAUAGAGAGAGGUUCACGGUGGCGUUUUAGGCCAGCCAGUAAAGACGGCAUCGUCUACAGGCUGUUGAAGGAUUUGGGAGAGUGCCCAUAUACACCACGUCAAGAGGAGGUAAGAUGGCACAUGCGAUUGGGUUUUAAUUUUGUAAACUAUACGUGCGGAAAGAAACCCUCAGAGCUCUCUGUUGGCAGGGCUCUCGGCAGGUGUUCAGUCCUGGUUCCCCGCCCUCAUUUAAGGGGAGAAAAAAUACCCAUGUGUGUUUAUAAGUGUAACAUAUGCACAUAUGUGUGUAAGACCCCUGGAAAAAGCACGUAUAUAACAUUCCGGAGGAAGAUGUGUCCGUCACACACGUACCCCGUUUUCCUCUCUAUAGGGACACGUGUGUGUAUAUUCGCAUGUACACGUCUGUGUCCAUGAGAAUUUAUUUUCUGCACGAACAUUACAAACUGGGGUUAGCUCAAGGGAGCACGGGCUCAUUUUUAAAAUUUACCCACAAAAUCAAGGCCACUUGUGUUUGUCCACCUCGGGCUGAGAGGCCUUGCGACUUUGGGCUCUACAGAGAUGUGUGCGCAUAUCUGGCCUGACUUUCUAUUAUAGAGGUCCGAGCACUGUUCUUGCCUUGGUUCUGCUCUCCUGCUGUCUGUGCAUCUUCUCUGCUCCGGCUUGUUUUCCCCCGUCUCCUCCCCUCCAUGCCUGACUGUGAGGGCCCAGCCCUGCCAACCCUGCAUCUUUGGACGGGGAUACAGCCAAGCCCAUGGCUGCCAGUCCCUUUCCUGUGGCUUAUCAGGGUGCCUGGUAGGAGGGGUGUUGAUUCUGAUUGAUCUGGGUGCACCCGGCCUGGCUUCUGGUUCAGGAGGAAAACCCUACUUUGCAGAGAGACUUUGUCGCCAUCCUCUGCAGCCAUCUGUCCCCCAGCACUUAAACUGCCCUUUGUUGCUUCCUGUUGGCACACGUGCCUGCCCCUCACUGGCAUGGUGGGCCCCCCCGCUUCCUCCCUCACAUACGCUUGUCCAGCCCCGGCCGGCCUGGCCACGUGGACUCAGAAUCAUGGCUUUCUCGCUGGGCCCCUGCCAGGAAAGUUGGUGGCUGUAGGUGCUGAGGUGGCCUGGGUGGCUGGGCACACUUGGUGGCCACAAAGCGGGGCAGGGGUAGCUAGUCUCCUGGUGGAGCGGGCCCUCUGGCUUUGCAGGUGCUCAGCACAAGGGUGGGUGGCCUCCCUUCCAGCGCCCCUGUUUCUGGAGGGCACCGUGGGGGCAGCUGGGGGUGGGAUAGUGGACGCUGGGUGCUGUUCUCCCUGGGGAUCCAUGAAACGCGCCUCCCUGCAGCAGGGGCCUGGGGGGCUCCUUCCCCACACUGGUGCUGGUGGAGCACCCCGUCUGCCAGAGGAGGAGAACAGGGCGUCUCUGACCAGCUGGCU
ensembl:lncRNA